ACAGUAUAUCCCAAUACUCGACCACUUCUUUCUUCAUAUCCUCAAUAUUUCUAAGUCAUUUUUGGUUUACUCUGUCCUUCAUUAGUCCCCACACAUUCUCAAUAGGGUUACGAUCUGGGCUGUGGCUGGGCCAGUCUAAAGCUUGAACAUUUUCGUCUGACAACCACUGUUUUGUGUAGCCUGCAUAGUGU